rnacentral:lncRNA from 1 species
ACACACAAAAAAGAAAAAGGGUGCCCGGAGAGAUUUCGCUCAAUCUCCUGCCUACGUGUCUCAUCUGGUAUGAGAAUCAGGGCGACGUAGUUCCCCUUAACAGGGGUACAACACUCUCCUAACCAGAGACCAGGGAAACAACAAACUAAUAGGGAGACUGACUCGAGCCUAAUAGUUGUCAUGCAAACAAUAAUCCCUACGUUGAGGUCUCUAACAUGCAUCCUACUUCCUCAGAAGUCAAUCAAACAACUCCUACAGAAAUGGAGAUGAGAAGAGGAAAACAGAUAAACACACCAACAUAAGUGAACAAG